CUCGGAGCAGCUCGUGGGACGAGCAGCGGGCUAGGACCCGCCGGGCGCAGGUUCGACUCCUGCCUCCGAGC
rnacentral:tRNA from 1 species